rnacentral:rRNA from 1 species
CUGUGACUCCUACGGGAGGCAGCAGUGGGGAAUAUUGCACAAUGGGGGAAACCCUGAUGCAGCCAUGCCGCGUGUGUGAAGAAGGCCUUCGGGUUGUAAAGCACUUUCAGUAGGGAGGAAGGUAGUGUAGUUAACACCUGCAUUAUUUGACGUUACCUACAGAAGAAGCACCGGCUAACUCCGUGCCAGCAGCCGCGGUAAUACGGAGGGUGCGAGCGUUAAUCGGAAUUACUGGGCGUAAAGCGCAUGCAGGCGGCCUGUUAAGUCAGAUGUGAAAGCCCGGGGCUUAACCUCGGAAUUGCAUUUGAAACUGGCAGGCUAGAGUCUUGUAGAGGGGGUAGAAUUUCAGGUGUAGCGGUGAAAUGCGUAGAGAUCUGAAGGAAUACCAGUGGCGAAGGCGGCCCCCUGGACAAAGACUGACGCUCAGAUGCGAAAGCGUGGGGAGCAAACAGGAUUAGAUACCCUGGUAG